rnacentral:tRNA from 1 species
UGGCCAACGGUCGUCAGGAUCGUUGAGCGCAUGGCGGGAUUUCGCCGUCUUCGUUUCUCUUUCUUCGCGGACGAACACGCGCUGGGGCUGCAACCUUGCAGAAUCCCUGGUCCUUGACUGGAUAUGCGUUAGGGGCUUGUAGCUCAGUUGGUUAGAGCGCGCGCUUGAUAAGCGUGAGGUCGGAAGUUCAAGUCUUCCCAGGCCCACCACACUCAUCGAGUGAGCAUUCGUCUUCUGGUUACGGGGCCAUAGCUCAGCUGGGAGAGCGCGUGCUUUGCAAGCAUGAGGUCGUCGGUUCGAUCCCGUCUGGCUCCACCAGAUGGUUUGAUCACCGGCUGCUCAUACCGUCGUCCGCGAAACAUCACUUCGCACUUACUAGUCCGGAUGGACAGUAAGCUGCGUGAUUUCUGACAUCGUAAAGAGGAGAUCGAUCCGAGUUGGAUCGGGCAACAAGUAAUUGUUGCGCGAUACUUCAUUAUCUCCGGAUCAUUUCGGCGCUCGUGCGUCUUCCAUUGUAGCUCACAAGGCUGCUUUGAAAGACAAGCGAGUUGUAAAUGAUCCUUUUAGCGAAGCUUGACCGCCUCGCUAUCGGAACGAUCUUACGAAGCAAGCUGGUCUUUCUAAUCAUUGUCCGGCUGCAGAUAGCGUUCAUCGAGGGCGCGUGCCGCAAGGUAGUUCUGCAGACAACAUUCUGCCGAGUGUGUGGACAUUGAUAAUGAGAGCAAUCAAGUGC